UUAGCCACUUCUAAAAUUUUAUACGUGGCUAAAAGUUACAAAUGGUCUUGACAAAUAGAACAUAACCCUCCAUCUCCCUAUUGGAACCCUAAUCCAUCAUCUUUCUGCCAUACGUAAGCUUCAGCGCUUAGCCAACUUUGAGAAAAAAAUUGAUAAUAAUUUCCACAGUUCAUCAACAUCGAUUGAAGCUCAUCUUGGUUUGGUAGGUGAUUUACACCAAAAUUUUGAGAAAAUUAGGUUAUAGAAAUCUUAUAACCAAAAUUUAUGGUUAUGAAUUUAGUUCUUCGUAUGUGGUCACGUUGGUUUUCCUGAAUUUGGUGUCGCCUGGUCGAAUUACUCUGAAGUUUGAAAAUUAGGGCUUGAUUUGGCUCACUAUUGAUAUGAUGUUACUUGUUUAACUAAACCCUGGUUUAUGAAAUUUUCAAUUUCGUUGUUGCCUAAGCUAUAUAAAAUCUGAGAAUUAUUAUUUUGUUGUGUUUAAUUUUCAUGCAGUUUCAGGAUCUUGUUAGAUGUAGGGUGUUCAUGGUUUGGUUUCAAACCGGUCACUGGUUUGGUUCGCGAUCUAUUUAAAAAUAUCAAACUGUAUCAAACGGUUUGGUAUAUGGUUUAUACUGAAAACCGGUGGAAGAAAACCAGACUUGACCGUAAGAUUUAAGAAUAUAUUUAAUUAUUUUUUAAUGCAAAUAAAUCUAUUCUAAAAGACUUAAUUGAAGUACAAUGCAUUAUAUUAGCUUAAAAUCAAAAUGCGCUUAAUAAACAUAUUGUUGCUCUCAGUCUACCAUCAGGUAUUUGUGCACAUUAUAUUAUUGUAACUCACAAUGAGCAAUUCUUUGGCUCAGCACAAAAUCGGUUAGGGCGAGUUGACUCAAAACGCUUCUUUUAGGAUACAGUAUAUAGGUAACUUAAGUAUAAGUUUUCUUUCAUCAAGGUCACCAAACUAUUAUGAUAGUUUUAGAGGCCAUCUAAGUAUCAGUUUGUUUUCGUUUAUUGUAAUUCUGUUGCCAAGAAAUCGUAAUUAGACAAAAUGUUGUUAGUUAAAGCUCUUGACACAUGUAGAGUUCUAAAAAUGACAAAAAUGCUCAUGAUUGUACUUAAAAGAAUCAAGUUUACAUGAAUUAACAACGCAUAUUUGACUAGAUUUAGGGACGUGGCAUGUAAGAGAUCACCAAGAAAAUGAAAAAAAUGCUCAUUAUGUUACACCUUGUUGGCAGCUCUUCUCAGAUACUGUUCCCAAGACCGCAGAGAAUUUUCGGGCACUUUGUGCGGGAAAGAUCAGGCCUGGCCCAAUGGAGGGGCGGGGUGGGCGAUCGCCGAAGGCCCACUCUCCCGAGGGGCCGGGGAUGUAAUGAAAAAAAUAUAUGUCCAUUUAACUCAUACAUCCGCAUACCAUACGAUAAAAUGUCUGUAGUCUAGUUGGAAAUACCAUCUCGAAACACUGCAUAGGUCUUUGCUUCGAGACCCAGCAGUGGCGUUUUUAUAUUUUUAUGCAUGGUAGAUUCCUUAUUAAGUGAGGAUAGAUUCACUAAGAUUUGGCCCAUAAGUGUAAACUAAAGUAUAAAAAUAUAUACAUAUUCAUUAUUGGUAUGGCCUUUUUUUAACUUUAUUUAGAAUCAUGUAUACAUUUCUUUGUUUUUAAUGGCUUUCAUACUCUAUAAAUAGUAGUUUCAAGUUCAAAUUUGUUGACGAGCCAAGCUCGAGUUGGAUCGGUUGUGAUUAGGGGCCGUCUUUUUACUCUCCUUGGCCUCGGAAAUUUUAAAGAUUCUCAGGGACGGCCCUGGGUAAGAUGUACUCAUGUACACCAUAAUUACUUUAAUAAAUUAUACAUUGUUAGUUUAUUUUCUACCUAUUCUUAACCACUGGGUGUCAGCCCAGUGGCCACCGACACCCAUCUUAAAACCUGCAAGGGGUAGGUCGCAAGUUCGAUUCUUACCCUGAGCAGACUGGGGAAUUCACCGCCAGGGCGCUUGGUCGGGUAUCAAACUGGGGAGGGGAUCCCUCCUGCGGUCAGGGGUACCGUGCAUUUACCCUUUUUUUAGUUCUUUGAUUCUUUCUUCUCCUAAAAGUCUUGGUGGUCUGUCUUUUAGUCGGCUAUGCUUGUUUACAGCGUAGGAUACAGGAAUGAUGGUCACUACUGCUUUUCUUGUGAUGUAGUUUUAAGGUUGUACUUAUUGGGUACUUGGUUAAAUAUCCUCAGACAACAAUUCUGUAGAUAUCAUACAAGUCUAGCUUUAUGCAAUGAAUUUCUAAUAUAGUUGCACUAAUUUCUAGUAUUUGUUUUGCAGGGUUGUGAUUUUUAAAUGUGAUGGUAUGUACGUUUUGCCUCUUGACUUUUUUUUAUCAUGUUCUUAUUUUAUUACCUUCAGGUAAAAAAAGUUGUAUAGGAUUAUCGCAGAACAUUUCUGAUAUAUAUUUGCAGGAAGUCAUGGAGAGAGCAUAGAUGGUGGGAAAUUUCCAGGUGAGAAUUAAGUCCUAUAUUUGUUUCAAUUUUGAUUGUGUUGAUAUGGUCGAAGUGGUUGUGGAAUUUCAUUUAAUUGUUCCAAAUCGACAUGUUGUAAAGUGAUGGCUAGGUGAUCAUAUUGGAGUCGCGGCUAAUAUGGUCAACAUCUGGUUACAGUUGAUAGAUAAAUGCAGUCAAAUGUGAUGGUUGCUUUGAAUUAAAUAAUUACAGGAAACAUACAUUUGGUGUUGGGCUAAUGAACAGAUGGAGCAAUUACUUGAUUUUAUAAAUGUUCAAUUGCUGCUUAUAUAAGACUGCAUAAUGGAAUCACAUGCAUCAACUACAACGAUACAGUCUCAACACUGCAUUACGCAUUAUGCGUCCUAUGUGCGCAUUUUUAAAACUAAAUUAUCUGGUAUUCUUUAAUUUUUAAUUUA